GCUCUCUGCUGCCAGUCACAGGGAGCCCGAAACCGCUCUGACACUCACCGCAACGAUGACAGAUCCUCCCCGAAGCCUGGCCAGCCGCAAACACGCGCAUUGUUCUCCCUGUCAGCCCGCUAUUGAAAGAAGAUUGGAGAAGGAUGAUCCCUUCCACAAAGGACAAGCUGGAAACGAGGGAUCACCGUGUUGCCUCCACCGGAAUCCUGGAGAAGGUCCAGCAGAAAAGAAAAGCCUGCUCCAUUUGCCUGGGACAAGCCCCACGAUGUACGUCGUUGGAGAUGAGUCCACCUCUCUUCCCUUUGUUUAUGGAGCACCUGUUCAUGGCAGAGAGUGGGAAGCAUGCUGGUGUGCCUAGAAUAGCAAGCUCCAGAUUUCUGCAGGGAACCCCUGAGGGCAGCCUGUGUCCUGGAGAGGUGAAACUUCAGAGCCCCACGGGGCCGCCAAGAGACACACCCCACAGUCUGUCCGUCUGUGCGCUCCCGUGUCAGUGUGCUGCUCUCCGUAAUCUGAAGUAUAACGCGACGAGGUGUUUCCUAACAGAUAAAAUGCCAUGUUUAGAAAGCUC